rnacentral:misc_RNA from 1 species
GAUGAAGAACGUAGCGAAAUGCGAUAAGUAAUGCGAAUUGCAGAUUUCAGUGAGUCAUCGAAUCUUUGAACGCACAUUGCGCCCGCCAGUAUUCUGGCGGGCAUGCCUGUUCGAGCGUCAUUUCAACCAUCAAGCCCCCGGGCUUGCGUUGGGGCCCUGCGGCUGCCGCAGCCUCCCAAAACCAGUGGCGGGCUCGCUAUCACACCGAGUGCAGUAGUUUACUCUUCGCUCAGGGCGUGUGGCGGGUGCUAGCCGUGAAACCCCCAACUUCUCAAGGUUGACCUCGGAUCAGGUAGGAAUACCCGCUGAACUUAAGCAUAUCAAUAAGCGGAGGA